CCCGUCCAUAGACUGUAAAAAUAAUGGACGGGACAAGGUCCCCGGUCUAGUGAAGCUUUUAUUUUUAGAGCUCCCCCUGCUGACUGGCUGCAGUAUAGGUCAUAAACCCCGCCUCCUCAAUGAAAACAGAUGGGAUGUGGGUCAAACUAAAGCUAAAAUACUCGUCACAUAAUUUUUUUCCAAACCUAAACUCUGCUGUGAUCAUUAGUUAUUAUCACCCUACAUUGUGUUCAAGUGCUCAUUUUUCUGUGAAGUUUGUUUUAAAUAAGUUAUUUGAGGUUGAAAAACUGGAUUUUAUGUCAUAUUUGACGAUGAUUGACAGCCGCCGAUCUUGCGUACCUCUCUUUGUGAAUAACAAAAGUUACGUAGUGAAGGAAAGCUGAGACGCCAUUGAAUUUUUCCGUUCAGUUUUUUUCGUCUUUUUUGAGCUGGCAAAAUGAGUUGUUCUGCAGUAAACUGUUCUAACCGACCUGUGGGAGCUAAGGGAUCUUUGCAGUUUUUUCGGUAAGUAAAAAAGUGUGAUUUAUGUGUCAUUGGUUGGUUAAAGUCGUUAUCUAGCUAGCUAACACAUAAGCAGUCUAAGGUUAGCUGAAAUGUUGUAAAGCUAGGUUACUUAUCCGGCAUGAUUUAUCUUUUUAUUUUAUUUUUUAAAAUGAGCAAACCUAAUAACUGACAUGCUAUGUUUCUUGAUAUUGUUAUAUCAUUAUUGUGAUUUAAAUUGUAUUUAAAACCAAGAAUCGUAAUAUAAAAUCCGCUCAUAGAUGCGGUUCAUUGACUGUACAGUUAUUUUACAGCAAAAAUAAAUACGUCUGGUAAGGUCUCAAAAAAGUAUCUAGGGCAAAAACAAAACCAAAUAAUUGUAAUCUGGCCUGCAUCAUUACUAAUGUGUACAUGUUUACAGUCUGAGUGAUAAGUGGGCUAUACCGAGAGUAACUGGUUUUACUUUCACCGUGCAGGCUGAAAUUCAUAGUACUAUAUACGAGGGUAGAAUAUUUCUCUAUGUAUCCAGAUAAAACUAAAGGUAAGCUCUGAUUUAAUAUAACUGUUACUGAUUUAAGAUCCAGAUAAAACUAAAGGUAAGCUCUGAUUUAAUAUAAUUGUUACUGAUUUAAGAGACUAACCGAAACGUGAAAGCAAACAUCAACAACCUGCGGUGGUGUAAUGUAAUAUUAACCGAGCAUCAUGCUGCUUAAACGUGAUAAAUAUUCUGCAUUGUCUUCCACACACUAAUUCAACAGUCACAAGUUGAUCAUAUUGUAAAUUUAAUGACGCUCAUUGAGAAUUUGUACUAAAAUUGACAAAACCUGACAAAAAUUGCGGUGAUUGUGACGGUGUCUGUAUUUAACACCUUUGAAAGGAAGGUGUUAAUACAGGAGACCAGUGUUACACACAACAUGCUGCUGUUAUUGUAGUUAGGAGGAGACAUAGGUACAAUAAAAGAAGACAUAAAGAUCGCGUUUUUCCCCACACAUGUUAAUAUGUUUUAAAUGUCAUGCAUUUAUUUUUUAUUUUGCUUCAAUAAUCGUUAACGAAGAGAAACACCAUGAUUAAACUACAGGCUAUUGUUGCCUUUUUAUAGCCAAAGAAAACUGAACAUCCACAGCCUCUGCAUUCAAAAGAAUUUCAACAUUGACAUUUAUGUCUUCCUAUUUCCCUCUUCUCACCAACAUUAUAUUUUAAACAGGGAUUUCCUUUUUCUCGGGUCUCACGUCUCUCCCCCAGCUCGCCCCCCUCUGGUGCGCUCCUCUCCAUAAUGCGCUCGUCUCCUCCCUCUACAGCCCGCUGCUGCUACUCUGUAGGACGUUUGGAUUGGGGCACCUCACCAAUAAAAUACUAUUUUAUAUUUUAUAAGCAGUUUGCCACCACACUGUACUUUUACUCUCCAAAGGCAUAUGAGUAUGUGCGUGACAACUUUAAUAAAGCUUUACCACACAGUCACACCAUCCACACAGCUGAUCCAGGAUUUACUGUAGCAUCUUUUAUAGCACUAAAAGGUCAUGUACAGGCAAACAGAGAGAAGGGAAAAGAAACAAUCUGUGCUCUCAAAUAACAAAGCAGUCUCAAAUCUUUUUGAGGAAUUACAGCUAAAAAAAAAUCUACUUUGCAUACAGUACAUCCUCUGAUAAAUAAAGUGAAGUACUUUGAUUGCAUUUCUGUGGUGUUCCUGUAGGUGACCAUGAUGCAGCCAGACUGAAGCAGCACGUUGUGAAGGUGGACGCCAUCAUCUUGUCUUUGCAGUGCUGAUUCUGAAGAGAACGCCUUCACAUAGGACUCAAAGGAAAUCAGUGCUCAAAGGAAACAGCAGUCCAGACUCUGAUUCCAUCUCCGAAGAUGCCCUCAGAUUCAGAUCCAUCAACAACCACUGACAACAUGGAGGACUCGUCCCCUGAGCGUUUCCUGUCCUCUCUCGAUGGUCUUCUUCUCUUCAGUUAUUAACUCUUGAAAACAGCAGCACAAAAUGCCAGACUGUUUGACAAGUCCGUGAUUGAAUAAAUGGAAAUGGAAUCUCA